rnacentral:pre_miRNA from 1 species
GAUUUCAACUGAAAAAGUCAUCAAUAACAAAGUUGUAUAAAUCAUCAAGAUCUAUAACUUUUAUUUUGGCCAUUUAUUCAUCCGACAAUGUGAUUUAUAAGAUUGUUCACAAAAUGUGCAUAUCUCUUAUAUAGUUUAUAAAACUAUAAGAGAGAUGUACAUUUUGUGAACAAUCUUAUAAAUAACUUUAUCGGAUGAAGAAAUGACUAAAAUAGAAGUUAUAUAUCUUGAUGAGUUAUACAACUUUGUUGUUGAUGACAUUUUCAGCUGAAAUC